GCGAAAACGGUAUUAAUUUUGAAGAGGAAACUGCAAUACUUUGAAUCAUAAUGUGAACAAAAUUAGAAAGAAUUAGACUAAGACGGCUUACACUGAUUAAGACUAUGCCUUCUCAAAAGAUCAAGCGCUUGUUGAACAAGCUUAGUGAAGUUCGAGGGGCUCCAACUAGUUUCAGUGAAGAUUCAUUGGAUGCUGCAGUUGAAACAGCAGAAGAAAAGGGUAAAACACUAUUUGCGGAAA